rnacentral:misc_RNA from 1 species
GAUGAAGAACGUAGUGAAAUGCGAUAAUUAAUGUGAAUUGCAGAAUUCCGUGAAUCAUCGAGUCUUUGAACGCACAUUGCGCCUCAUGGCAUUCCGUGAGGCAUGCCCAUCUCAGCGUUAGAAAAUAUUCUCAAAUUUUAGUUUUGUGCUAAAAUUUGGAUCAUGUCAAGGAAGCUAUUACUAUUAUUGUGAUCGCUCUUUGGAAAUUGAUAGGUCUUUGAGUUGCUACUCAUAGAACGUGAUGAAUCUUUCUUCGUUCUAUUGUAAUUCACUCUGGUAGUCCUAAAACUUGUAUGCCUGUGGCAUAUCUUGUAAUUUGACCUGAGAUUGGGUAGGGAUACCCGCUGAACUUAAGCAUAUCAAUAAGCGGAAGA